rnacentral:rRNA from 1 species
UGUUAGGGCACGACACCGGAGAGGGAGCCUGAGAAACGGCUACCACAUCCAAGGAAGGCAGCAGGCGCGCAAAUUACCCAAUCCCGACACGGGGAGGUAGUGACAAUAAAUAACAAUACAGGGUUCUUUUGGAUCUUGUAAUUGGAAUGAGUACAAUUUAAAUCUCUUAACGAGGAACAAUUGGAGGGCAAGUCUGGUGCCAGCAGCCGCGGUAAUUCCAGCUCCAAUAGCGUAUAUUAAAGUUGUUGCAGUUAAAAAGCUCGUAGUUGAAUUUCGGGAUCAAUGUUUCGGUCAUGCCGUUGGUAUGUACUGAUAUUAUUGAUUUCUCACCUUCUAAAGAACCGUAAUGCCAUUAAUUUGGUGUCACGGGGAAUUAGGACUGUUACCUUGAAAAAAUUAGAGUGUUUAAAGCAGGCUCACGCUUGAAUACAUUAGCAUGGAAUAAUGAAAUAGGACAUCCGAUUCUAUUUUGUUGGUUUCUAGGAUCGAUGUAAUGAUUAAUAGGGAUAGUUGGGGGCAUUAGUAUUCAAUUGUCAGAGGUGAAAUUCUUGGAUUUAUUGAAGACUAACUACUGCGAAAGCAUUUGCCAAGGAUGUUUUCAUUAAUCAAGAACGAAAGUUAGGGGAUCGAAGACGAUCAGAUACCGUCGUAGUCUUAACCAUAAACUAUGCCGACUAGGGAUCGGAUGAUGUUAAUUUUUUAAUGACUCAUUCGGCGCCUUACGGGAAACCAAAGUGUUGGGAGUUAGUUCUAUCCUACCAUCGAAAAGUUAGUUCUAUCCUACCAUC